rnacentral:sRNA from 1 species
GCAGUUAACGUCGGUAUCUGCACGGUUUCGCAUCGGCGGCGCCGUCAGUUGUCGAGCAGCGGUCCAACGGUGCGUAUGCGUAUUUCAGGCGGCCAACGGUCCACGGUGCGUAUGCGUGUUAUUUGACCCACAGAAGUGAAAUAGUGGUGUCUGUGUUGUUUCGUCGCUUUCGCGGUGUCUUCCUCUUGUUUGUUCAAAUAACCAAGGCGAGACCCUAGUGAAAAGUGUGUGAGUGAAUAUACCCGACGGAGAGAGAGGGAGAGUGUGUGCAAUGUCGGUUUUCGGUUACCAUUGAUAAAUGGCAAACAAAUUGAAUGGCAAUGGCCGGUGAAUAUUAAAAGCGCCCAUACAAAUAAAAAAAAAAUAAAAAAAAGAAAGAAAAGAAAGGAAGGAAGUAAAGAAAAAACACCGCUUCAAGCCGAAAUCAAAUCACACGUGUCAUAUCCGUUUCGUUUUUGGGAAAGAAUAUCUCUGAUCGUAUAUUUAUUUGUUUAAAAGGUG